UGGAUCAAAAUAGAGAGAAUGGUUCCUUUUGCUUUGGUCGCUGUACAUGUGUAUGUCUUUUAUUAGCGAAGUCUGUGUGUGUUGAAGAUCCACAGCCCUAGGGGUGAAUGUUUCUGAGUCCCCUCCCUUUCUGACCUGGUGACCUUUGGGAUGAUUGGGAAUAUAGUUCCAAGUCUUCUCUGUUUCUGUCACAACUGGGGCUCUCCUGCUAUGCCUUGUGCUUGUUCCUUUCCUUCUGCUGCACUCAACCAUGCGCCCCUCUGCCUCAGCCCAGUCCCUUGGUCCACCCUGGACAUUCUUAACACCUGGUUCCUGUAAGAAGCCAGUGAGUUAAGAGAAGAAAGGCUCAGGGGGAGCUUUUUUUGCUCUGAGUUGCUUCUCAUCCUUGCUGAAGGUUUUUUAAAAAAUGCAGACCUCAGAAAGGGCUAGGUGCCUGCCUCAGGGCCUUGGCAUCAACUGUAGGAAUAAAUGCCCUGUUCAACAGGGUGAGGUCGGCAGGGCAGAUCGACUGCCUGAGAGAGAGUGACAGGGUGCUAGGUCAUGUGGGAGACCCCCAGGACCAUGUCCAGGCUGAUGUUCUGGGGGGACGGAUGUUAGAUUCUUGGGAACAGUAUGCUUCAGGUAUGUUACAGAUCUGCUUUUAUGACCUGUCCGGGAAAAUGAUGGCUGAGAGAAUACAUUCCGAGUGUCAAAGAAAACAUUUGGAACAAAUCCCACUUGUGGAAAGGACUGGGCAACCCCAAAGGUCUGUUUGCCCCUCCCCUGCUCCCAGCAGCCCCCUCCAAGAGACCUGCUCCUUUGGGAUGCCCCUGCCCCAAGCGUGCCAAGCGUCCGCUGCUUGGGGAGAAACCAGGCCUUCUAGUACCACCUCCAGCUCUUCAGUCAGUGCUGCACAAGCAGACGGCGCAGCCCCCAUCUCUGCUGAAAUAAAGAAAGCUCCCGGAGCCAGGAGAACAGAGUGGCUGCUGCCCAGAUGGCGGCUUCACCCUCCUUCCAGGACCGAGGCCCCUUUCUGAUCCCACGGCUCAGGUGUCUGGGCCGUGGGUGUGAAUGUGCUUCCCUUCUGCCCAGUAACGUGGUCCUGUGGAAACACGUUUCCUGUUUGGAGUGUCUGUGCCAAGGUAGAGAUGUGUGGAAGGUCAUUGUUGUAGAAAUUGGAUCUUAAAGUUGUUAAUUAUAUACAUACUAAAAUAAAAUAAAAACUUUGAGCUUUUACA
rnacentral:lncRNA from 1 species